AGAGUUUGAUCAUGGCUCAGGACGAACGCUGGCGGCGUGCUUAACACAUGCAAGUCGAGCGAGGCCCAUCUUCGGGUGGUGCCCUAGCGGCGAACGGGUGAGUAACACGUGGGCAACCUGCCCUCAGCUCUGGGAUAACUCCAAGAAAUUGGUGCUAAUACCGGAUGUGACCGCUGACCGCAUGGUCUGGUGGUGGAAAGAUUCAUCGGCUGAGGAUGGGCCCGCGGCCUAUCAGCUUGUUGGUGGGGUAAUGGCCCACCAAGGCGACGACGGGUAGCCGGCCUGAGAGGGUGACCGGCCACACUGGGACUGAGACACGGCCCAGACUCCUACGGGAGGCAGCAGUGGGGAAUAUUGCGCAAUGGGCGAAAGCCUGACGCAGCGACGCCGCGUGAGGGAUGACGGCCUUCGGGUUGUAAACCUCUUUCAGUAGGGACGAAGCGAAAGUGACGGUACCUACAGAAGAAGCACCGGCCAACUACGUGCCAGCAGCCGCGGUAAUACGUAGGGUGCAAGCGUUGUCCGGAAUUAUUGGGCGUAAAGAGCUCGUAGGCGGUCUGUCACGUCGGCUGUGAAAACCCGAGGCUCAACCUCGGGCCUGCAGUCGAUACGGGCAAACUAGAGUACUGCAGGGGAGACUGGAAUUCCUGGUGUAGCGGUGAAAUGCGCAGAUAUCAGGAGGAACACCGGUGGCGAAGGCGGGUCUCUGGGCAGUAACUGACGCUGAGGAGCGAAAGCGUGGGGAGCGAACAGGAUUAGAUACCCUAGUAGUCC
rnacentral:rRNA from 1 species